rnacentral:rRNA from 1 species
AUUGAACGCUGGCGGCAGGCCUAACACAUGCAAGUCGAGCGGAGCGGCGUACGGGCGAGUAAUGCCUAGGAAUCUGCCUGGUAGUGGGGGAUAACGUCCGGAAACGGGAGCUAAUACCGCAUACUAUUAGAUGAGCCUAGGUCGGAUUAGCUAGUUGGUGGUGUAAAGGCCUACCAAGGCGCCGAUCCGUAACUGGUCUGAGAGGAUGAUCAGUCACACGGGAACGUAGAAACGGUCCAGACUCCUACGGGAGGCAGCAGUGGGAAAUAUUGGACAAUGGGCGAAAGCCUGAUCCAGCCAUGCCGGGUGUGUGAAGAAGGUCUUCGGAUUGUAAAGCACUUUAAGUUGGGAGGCGUUACCAACAGAAUAAGCACCGGCUAACUACGUGCCAGCAGCCGCGGUAAUAC